rnacentral:tRNA from 1 species
UCGGAAGGUGCGGCUGGAUCACCUCCUUUCUAAGGAUGAGAAGCUGAUACGUCAGCUUCUCACACAAGGAAAAGAAAAGGUCGUUGAUAUUAAAAAUUAAGGAGUAAAAACAUAACAACUAAACAAAAAUUGACUAUUGCAUAUAUACAUGGGGAUAUAGCUCAGCUGGGAGAGCACCUGCCUUGCACGCAGGGGGUCAAGAGUUCGAAUCUCUUUAUCUCCACUACAAACAAACCCAUUCCAAUGAGUUUGUUAAAACGAACCAACAAAACUAAAUAGCAAAAAAUAUUUCCAGUCAAGAAAGAAA